rnacentral:rRNA from 1 species
AUGGCAUCCCGUGCUCUGCCUCUGCUCCUCCUCGUCCUGGCCGUCGCCGCCGUCGCGGCAGCGCCCAUCGUCCGCGCGAGCGCCGAGGACGGCCCGAGGAGGCGGCUGCUGCAGGACGCCGGCGGCAACAGCACCGACACCAACGGCACGGCGGGGUACAUCAGCUACGGCGCGCUGUACGCCAGCACGGUGCCGUGCGCCUACUCCGGCGCGUCCUACUACAACUGCCGCCCCGGCGCGGAGGCCAACCCCUACGAGCGCGGCUGCUCCGCCAUCACGCAGUGCCGCGACUGA